AGUGAACGCUGGCGGUAGGCCUAACACAUGCAAGUCGAACGGCAGCACAGUAAGAGCUUGCUCUUACGGGUGGCGAGUGGCGGACGGGUGAGGAAUACAUCGGAAUCUACUUUUUCGUGGGGGAUAACGUAGGGAAACUUACGCUAAUACCGCAGACGACCUACGGGUGAAAGCAGGGGAUCUUCGGACCCUGCGCGAUUGAAUGAGCCGAUGUCGCAUUAGCUAGUUGGCGGGGUAAAGGCCCACCAAGGCGACGAUCCGUAGCUGGUCUGAGAGGAUGAUCAGCCACACUGGAACUGAGACACGGUCCAGACUCCUACGGGAGGCAGCAGUGGGGAAUAUUGGACAAUGGGCGCAAGCCUGAUCCAGCCAUACCGCGUGGGUGAAGAAGGCCUUCGGGUUGUAAAGCCCUUUUGUUGGGAAAGAAAAGCAGCAGGUUAAUACCCCGCUGUUCUGACGGUACCCAAAGAAUAAGCACCGGCUAACUUCGUG
rnacentral:rRNA from 1 species